rnacentral:rRNA from 1 species
AGCGGCGGACGGGUGAGUAACACGUGGGUAACCUGCCCUGGAGUGGGGGAUAACCCGGCGAAAGCCGGGCUAAUACCGCAUACGACCCCCGGUGAGAAACCGGGUGGUGAAAGCUCCGGCGCUUUGGGAGGGGCCCGCGGCCGAUUAGCUAGUUGGUGAGGUAACGGCCCACCAAGGCGACGAUCGGUAGCUGGUCUGAGAGGAUGGUCAGCCACACGGGGACUGAGAACGGCCCCGACUCCUACGGGAGGCAGCAGCUAAGAAUCUUGCGCAAUGGGCGAAAGCCUGACGCAGCAACGCCGCGUGCGGGAUGAAGGCCUUCGGGUUGUAAACCGCUUUUGCGAGGGAAGAAGUACUGACGGUACCUCGCGAAUAGGCCACGGCUAACUACGUGCCAGCAGCCGCGGUAAUACGUAGGUGGCAAGCGUUGUCCGGAUUUAUUGGGCGUAAAGCGCCCGCAGGCGGCCCGGCAAGUUUCAGGUGAAAUCUCCCGGCUCAACCGGGAGGGGUCCUGGAAAACUGCCAGGCUUGAGGCAGGGAGGGGAAUGCGGAAUUUCCGGUGUAGCGGUGAAAUGCGUAGAUAUCGGAAGGAACACCAGCGGCGAAGGCGGCAUUCUGGCCCUGUCCUGACGCUCAGGGGCGAAAGCGUGGGGAGCGAACCGGAUUAGAUACCCGGGUAGUCCACGCCGUAAACGAUGAGUACUAGGCGUUGGGGGUAUCGACCCCCUCAGUGCCGAAGCUAACGCGAUUAGUACUCCGCCUGAGGACUACGGCCGCAAGGCUAAAACUCAAAGGAAUUGACGGGGGCCCGCACAAGCAGCGGAGCGUGUGGUUU